rnacentral:rRNA from 1 species
GAUGAACGCUGGCGGCGUGCCUAAUACAUGCGAGUCGAGCGAACGGACGAGAAGCUUGCUUCUCUGAUGUUAGCGGCGGACGGGUGAGUAACACGUGGAUAACCUACCUAUAAGACUGGGAUAACUUCGGGAAACCGGAGCUAAUACCGGAUGAUAUUUUGAACCGCAUGGUUCAAAAGUGAAAGACGGUCUUGCUGUCACUUAUAGAUGGAUCCGCGCUGCAUUAGCUAGUUGGUAAGGUAACGGCUUACCAAGGCAACGAUGCAUAGCCGACCUGAGAGGGUGAUCGGCCACACUGGAACUGAGACACGGUCCAGACUCCUACGGGAGGCAGCAGUAGGGAAUCUUCCGCAAUGGGCGAAAGCCUGACGGAGCAACGCCGCGUGAGUGAUGAAGGUCUUCGGAUCGUAAAACUCUGCUAUUAGGGAAGAACAUAUGUGUAAGUAACUGUGCACAUCUUGACGGUACCUAAUCAGAAAGCCACGGCUAACUACGUG